rnacentral:lncRNA from 1 species
AAUACACGAGACAAACAGAAGAUGAGAAGACUUAACCUAGCUAUAAACAAUACACCUACCUGCUAAUCAGCAGGAAACACACAGAUGCACCACCAAAACCAUGCCUAGCUACCUGACUCACGGCCAGCUAAGCUAACAACGUAGUACAUCACACAGACAAACACAACACGGUCCAUCAGUACCUAACGCUGCGCAGCUGGAUCGACCGGUCAUCUCAACUAAUCUCUGGUGCCGGAGGAGGAGAAGCAGCCGCAGAGGAAGUCCCACAUGCUCUUCUUCACCCCGUUGUGGUCAGCCAUCCUUCUUCUUCUCCUCUGAAACGACGGAGCAGAAUGGUGUGGAAUAAGCUAGCUAAAACUGAGCAAGGAGCAAGAGGAGUUGUGGGUUUGGUGCCGCCCCUCCAUCCAACGGGCCCUUAUUUAUAAUAGCACAAACUGGCGUCUCGAUCGGUGUCUCACAACAGCAAGCAGAGGCCAGAGUUAACUGGAAAUGGAAGCGCAUCGGAGUUGACCUGACAGUGCGUGGAACAGGUCUUAAGCUUUCAACCGGGGCGACGACAGACGACUUGUAGAUUAAAGUGUGAACUGCUGCCUCGUGACCCGCGUGACUGUGUCAGUAUGAGAUCACUCACUCGUGUCUCAAGUACGCACUGCGAAUCUUGAAGUCGUUCUGACUUGUAACCUUGGUUAGUUUUAUGCCCUUCCGGCCUUCCGUAGUUCCAUGGAUUGUGUGCAACAAGCCUUUAGAUAAAGCAAUUUGGUGGUACCAUUUAUUCUCCUUUUGCACGGUACGCGUAGUCUCGGACUCGCUUCUCGACGGUCAAAAAGAAAAGAUGGCGAGUAAUGUGCAGUGAUCCGCUAGCCUUUGAACAACCCGGUCAUCUUGUCGCCACAACUAUAUUCGACCUAAUUAAGCAAGCUUUCCUCUGGCUCAUCAACAAAUUAACCUACUUCCUAAAUGUCCUCAAAAGGAAAAGAAAAAACUGCUCCCUGUAUCAUAAUAUUUGUUGUUGAAAAAAAACUAAUGCAGUUCUCCCAACAACCAGUGUUUGAAAACAGAGGAAGUACUUCCUAGAUGAUCAAGUAAGCUUGGGUAUGCAUCAGUCCCACAUUCUCAAAACAGUUUUAACAUUUUUGUAUCAGCUCACACUUUGGAUAGUGUGUGUGCAAGGACGUGGCACCAACCCGAUUAACCCACGACCGUUGAUCUGUUUAUGUGCGUGCAUGGUGCUACCUCAACCCCCGCUCUAAUUACAGUGACACGUUCGGUUUGGUGAAAACGAACAAUGCCACCAUGUGAAGAAUCUCGUGCUAAAGAACGCGUGCGGCUCACCUGGCCUGAUCUUAGC